UACUCCUACGGGAGGCAGCAGUGAGGAAUAUUGGUCAAUGGGCGAGAGCCUGAACCAGCCAAGUAGCGUGCAGGAUGACGGCCCUAUGGGUUGUAAACUGCUUUUAUGCGGGGAUAAAGUGAGGGACGUGUCCUUCAUUGCAGGUACCGCAUGAAUAAGGACCGGCUAAUUCCGUGCCAGCAGCCGCGGUAAUACGGAAGGUCCGGGCGUUAUCCGGAUUUAUUGGGUUUAAAGGGAGCGUAGGCCGUGGAUUAAGCGUGUUGUGAAAUGCAGGUGCUCAACGUCUGCACUGCAGCGCGAACUGGUCCACUUGAGUGUGCGCAACGCAGGCGGAAUUCGUCGUGUAGCGGUGAAAUGCUUAGAUAUGACGAAGAACUCCGAUUGCGAAGGCAGCUUGCGGGAGCACGACUGACGCUGAAGCUCGAAAGUGCGGGUAUCGAACAGGAUUAGAUACCCUGGUAGUCCGCACGGUAAACGAUGGAUGCCCGUUGUCAGGCUGUUUCAGCCUGGUGACCAAGCGAAAGCAUUAAGCAUCCCACCUGGGGAGUACGCCGGCAACGGUGAAACUCAAAGGAAUUGACGGA
rnacentral:rRNA from 1 species